UACGGAGGGUGCAAGCGUUGUCCGGAAUCACUGGGCGUAAAGGGCGCGUAGGCGGCUCGGUAAGUAGGGGGGUGAAAUCCUGCGGCUUAACCGCAGGGCUGCCUUCUAAACUGUCGAGCUUGAGCACGGUAGAGGCAGAUGGAAUUCCCGGUGUAGCGGUGGAAAUGCGUAGAGAUCGGGAAGAACAUCAGUGGCGAAGGCGGUCUGCUGGGGCCGUUGCUGACGCUGAGGCGCGACAGCGUGGGGAGCAAACAGG
rnacentral:rRNA from 1 species